GAUGAACGCUGGCGGCGUGCCUAAUACAUGCAAGUCGAGCGAACAGAUGAGGAGCUUGCUCCUCUGACGUUAGCGGCGGACGGGUGAGUAACACGUGGAUAACCUACCUAUAAGACUGGGAUAACUUCGGGAAACCGGAGCUAAUACCGGAUAAUAUAUUGAACCGCAUGGUUCAAUAGUGAAAGACGGUUUUGCUGUCACUUAUAGAUGGAUCCGCGCCGCAUUAGCUAGUUGGUAAGGUAACGGCUUACCAAGGCAACGAUGCGUAGCCGACCUGAGAGGGUGAACGGCCACACUGGAACUGAGACACGGUCCAGACUCCUACGGGAGGCAGCAGUAGGGAAUCUUCCGCAAUGGGCGAAAGCCUGACGGAGCAACGCCGCGUGAGUGAUUAAGGUCUUCGGAUUGUAAAACUCUUUUAUUAGGGAAGAACAAAUGUGUAAGUAACUAUGCACGUCUUGACGGUACCUAAUCAGAAAGCCACGGCUAACUACGUG
rnacentral:rRNA from 1 species